GUUAAAACUCAAAUGAAUUGACGGGGGCCCGCACAAGCGGUGGAGCAUGUGGUUUAAUUCGAUGCAACGCGAAGAACCUUACCUGGUCUUGACAUCCACAGAACUUUCCAGAGAUGGAUUGGUGCCUUCGGGAACUGUGAGACAGGUGCUGCAUGGCUGUCGUCAGCUCGUGUUGUGAAAUGUUGGGUUAAGUCCCGCAACGAGCGCAACCCUUAUCCUUUGUUGCCAGCGGUCCGGCCGGGAACUCAAAGGAGACUGCCAGUGAUAAACUGGAGGAAGGUGGGGAUGACGUCAAGUCAUCAUGGCCCUUACGACCAGGGCUACACACGUGCU
rnacentral:rRNA from 2 species